UGAAUAUUCACAGACUGGUCUCUUUAUAUUGCAAUUGGGCCGGCGUCGACAUCAUGGUACCAACAUUGCUGGCAAAGACUCGACACGGGGACGGCCAAGCCGGCAUUGGUUUUCUUGGCGGCCUCGUGACUCGUCAUCGGAGUCCAAUCAGUCCUCGGACUCUUCCUCCGAAUCCAGCGAAUCCUCAGAGAGUCGGUCUUCAGAGGAGUCUGCCGAGGUCACUACACCAGAUGGGAGCACGUUCACUUCUGAACCAGACACAACGAUUUCAGAC
ensembl:lncRNA